AAGUCCUGCUUUCUCCCUCAGGGAGUCCAGAACUCUGCUGCUCACCAAUCUGGAAGGAAGAAGUGGAACCUGGAACAGAAUUCUUCCUUGUGAGAGUUGAGAGGGCAGUCCCUCCUGACUGAGAAGAUGGCUUGACAGCCUGUUUGGAGUUCCUUUACCAUCUGACCAGCAGUUCAGUCCUGUAGCAAACGCCAAACACUAUUCAGCAGCUGCAGUCCAAUCCUGAAGAAUCUGCAAGGCUCACCGACCUGCCCGAGGCCGCUGAAGCAGCGGAACCGAAAGAACUGUUCUUUGGCAACUGUGUGUUGGUCCCUUUGCAUGAUAAAGCUGAGGAGCAAGAGAAGAUUAGGAGCUGAACUCCACAGAGGUGUUCAGAAGUCUGUACAGGCCGCCUCUCUGGAAAGCACCCAGCACUCCCUGCUGUUCCUAGAUCCUGCUGUCUCCUUAUCAGUCCCUGCGGCCAGCAGAACAAACUGAGGUAUGGUAUUACAAAUACGGGCUCAAGGUUACUGAGGGUCACAGAGUCUACAGCAAAGGGGAAUCUGAAACCACCAUGUUCUGCUCCACUCUCAUGCUUCAAAUGCUCAUGACUGCGUAAGCCCAGCUGAGAGUACAAGGAUCAUCCCUACAGAGAACCUCCCUUGUCAGCUCAUCUGUCUGACCCUCUGUGCCCCUGGACACCAUCAGCUAGCUGGGAGUGUGGAAGAUUCUAGAGAAGGCACCAUCCCUCAGUAGCAUUUCCACAGUUCAGUGAACAACUGAUUCUUCCACCAUUGCCAUGAUCAUCUCCAGCUCUUAACUCCAUGACUUCUUUCUCCCUUAAGAAAACAAAUAGGAAAGUAAAAGACAAACAAGGAAGAAUAAGAAACAGAGAAACUAAGAAGGAGAAUGAGAUAUGCACACACUUCCCUGUCUGGGCACUGGGACUCUGGCUUGAACCCGUGCAGUUUCUCCAGGACUUUUAUCACGAAGAGAUGCUGGAUUUUAUCAAAGACACAAAGGGGAAUGGUCCAUCCAGAUCCACAAGCUUGUCAAAACCAGCAGAGGCAUAAGGUCAUAGAAUCCAUGUCCACUACGCAGUCUGCUCCUCACCCACUGUCCGUUGGAAAGCCGAUUCCUUCCUCCUGUGUGCGUGCUGCUGGUACUCUAUGUUCCACCUGCCUUCCAAGAGCUCACAGAACUUGGCAGUGUUUGCCCUGUGUUGUCUCAACUGCUGAGAAAUGGCGUCAUCCACACCAGGGGCCAAAACACCACCUUUGUAGUACCUUUGUUCUCAGCUGUGAGUUUUGUGAUCUCCACAAAAAAGUGGAUACCAAACUUUCUUCCUGGUCCUCAUUUGCCUUUCAACAAGAAGUCUUCACUCAUUUAUUAAAUCACUUACUUUGUACAGACAGUUGUUCAUCAGAGCAUGUUAGGAACCAGUCCCAAGACCCCGAUAGACACUAGAGUCUGAGGAACCUUGAGUUUCUUAUACAAAAUGGCACAGUAUUUGUAUAUAACCUAUGAAUAUCCCCUUGGGCACCUUAAUUUUUACUUUUUGGCCUUUUGUAGAGACUUGCAAUGUAGCUCAGGCUGACUUUGAACUUUUCAUCCUCUGGCUCAACUUCCUAAGUACUAGUGUGAAUCACUGGUGUGAAUCACCGGUGUGAAUCAUUAUACCUAAUCCCUCCUGUGUAAUAAAGUUUCCAUUAUUUAUCAUAUCUAAUACCAUGUAAAUGGUAGAUAAACAAUCUUGGUGGUAUAUUGAUUAGGGGCUAAUGACAAGAAAAAAAGUUUGUACCUGUUAAAUAAAGAUGCAGUUAAAC
ensembl:processed_transcript